rnacentral:lncRNA from 1 species
AGAGGGAAGAAUCAACUCCCCAUCAUGGAAAAUAAAAUGUUCAGCUGGGCAAUAAUGAAGCAAAUGAGUAAUGCCCAGAAGACACUACAGAGAAUGUCUACUGGGGACUACAAACAGCCAUCAGUAUGGUGGAUUUGCAGAAGAAACUGCCCUAAGCUGUGUGUUAAAGGUGGAUGGGAAACCGGAGGAGGGCAUGGAAGGACAGGCCAGCUUCAGAGGAAACCCUUGGAAAUGGAUCCGCCCUCUAGCGGUUAACAAGGGAGCUGAGGAAUAAUGGGAUUUGACAUCAUUGGAAAGCACAGCCACACCCAAAAACAGGUGUGUGCACAAGAAUUUCUGAACACAGAUUUUACCAGCUACACCCACACCCUCAAUUCUACUUGAAAUUAAUCUUAAAGAAAUUUUGAAUUUGCUGAUAAUUUGAGAUCAGUAAAGAUUUUCCCUGAAAGUUCUAAGGACUUCGCUUGGGGUUUUGGAUUGGAUUCCAGAGGUUGGCACCUACGCUCUAAAAAAUCUAAACAGAAGGAGAAAAUAAAUCACCAACUGGCACUUUAAAGACAAAGAUUUAUACCAGAUUUAAUAAACUUCCUGUCUUGCUGAGCAUGAGGAAAAUGUCGUGUUUACCCCGAUGCUCUCUGCUCCUGGCAGCGUGUGUGCUGAGUUGGAAGGGCUGCAGAAGUGGGUCACGCUCACCCAACUGGAACUCGAAAGACUCAUAGAGAGCAAGCACUGGACAAUGGCCUGGUGUCCAUGAUGUAUCCCUGCCUGUCGUUACUAAUCCUACUCAGGGCCAAGCUGGAG